CUUUAAUACAUUUAUCAAAGGCCUUUACCCACAAAUCUUUUGUAAGUAACCGUUUCGAUUAACCUCUUGGAACAGAUAUCUAUUGUUUGUUUACUGAAUUUACAACCUUCACUUGUUAUUGCUCAAACCAUCACAAUUGAUCAUUUCUGAUUAUUUUCUUACAUAAAUUAAUGCUCAUUUUCUCUUUGAUUUUUCUUAAGUGCUAAUCCUUUAACUUAUUAACCGCGGUAACUCAUAAAGCUGAUCUACUUCAUGAAUUCGUAAACUAUUUCUUCUGAGAUAAUAAAUACCCGUAGUUUUUUAACGAAAUUUGCUCAUGACUCAGUGACGAAUAGUAGUUUUGAAGCUGUAAAGGAUUUGAGGUCCAUUGUUAGUAUAAUAAUACACAACUUUUUACAGACGAAAGUAGCUUCAAGCAACAAAUCGAAUAAGGAUUCAGAAUUCGAAUCAAUUGUGUGGAAGUUUGUGCAACUAAGGGUCGUAAAAGAAGAUGUAAACUCUGAAUUAGCACAACAUAGGACCUUAGCGUUCAGUCUGUGAAGAAGCCAAAAUGAUGCAAGUUAAGCAAAACAAAAAGCAGUUAUGAAACUACUCAAAAAUGCUCGAAUGCCUUUGGUUUCCUUUUUCUCAUAAAAAAAUAAUCGUUA